rnacentral:rRNA from 1 species
UCCCAGCAGUCCAAGUCGCAAUCACAAUUAUUGGGUCUAAAACAUCCGUAGCUUGCUUUGUAAGUCUCUUGUGAAAUCCGGCCUCUUAAGGGUCGAAGUGCGAGAGAUACUGUAAAGCUAGAGACCGGGAGAGGUAAGAAGUACAAACGGAGUAGCGGUAAAAUGUGUUGAUCCUGUUUGGACUAACAACAGCGAAGGCAUCUUACUAGAACGGAUCUGACAGUGAGGGAUGAAGGCUAGGGGCGCAAAAGGG